rnacentral:rRNA from 1 species
CCCUUAGAUGUCCGGGGCUGCACGCGCGCUACACUGAAGGAAUCAGCGUGCUAAAACCAUUGUCGAAAGGCAUUGGUAAACCCAUUAAAAUCCUACGUGAUUGGGAUCGGGAAUUGCAAUUAUUUCCCUUGAACGAGCAAUUCCCAGUAAGUGUGGGUCAUAAGCUCGCGUUGAUUACGUCCCUGCCCUUUGUACACACCGCCCGUCGCUGCCCGGGACUGAGCCGUUUCGAGAAAAGCGGGGACUGCUGCUGUCGGGGCUUUCGGGCCUUGGCUUCGGUGGAAACCGCUUUAAUCGCAGUGGCUUGAACCGGGCAAAAGUCGUAACA